rnacentral:rRNA from 1 species
CAGCAGCCGCGGGAAUACGUAGGGUGCAAGCGUUAAUCGGAAUUACUGGGCGUAAAGCGUGCGCAGGCGGUGUUGUAAGACUGAUGUGAAAUCCCCGGGCUCAACCUGGGAACUGCAUUGGUGACUGCAGCGCUGGAGUGCGGCAGAGGGGGAUGGAAUUCCGCGUGUAGCAGUGAAAUGCGUAGAUAUGCGGAGGAACACCGAUGGCGAAGGCAAUCCCCUGGGCCUGCACUGACGCUCAUGCACGAAAGCGUGGGGAGCAAACAGGAUUAGAUACCCCCGUAGUCCCUGUCUCUUAUAC